GUCUUUCGUCAGACACGAACUACACGUCCAUGGUCCACAUCUCGACUAGUUUGGCGGAGUUUGACUGAGAUCGAACGUGAAUAUGGAACCAUGAAGACUUGAACAGGUAAUCACAACAGUCUUUAAGAACAUGAGGAGCAUCAGCCUUUGUAUGCACAAUCUCAACUACUUUGGACUACAACAGCAAGACACCUGGCCAUACAGAACAUAGGACCUACUGAUUCUAAUUUGGACUCCAUGGCUGAAAUGUCCAGUCUCUCCACAAGAAAAUGAAAGCACCGGUGUUAUUUUUAUUUUGAGUCUGUAUUCUGACAGUGAUUUCAAGUGUUGCUCAGUUUUAUAUAAGUCCUCUCUGUCUUGAACAUCCUGAGAAUGUCCACAACGGUAGUGAUUGCAACUGUUAAUGGACAGAGUUGAUGUAUAUUCUUUAUUGUUCUGAAAGUUGAUUAGAAGAAAGUGGACAGUGCAUGCUAAGUUUUUGAAAAGCAUGUUUUUUCCCCUGCUAAGGCCAGCUAUCUGAUUGGUUGAAACUUUGAGGAUUUUUUUUCCUCCUCAAUGAACUUCUGCCUAUAAAAUCCAUGACUAAAUGAAAGCUUCAAUCUUUUGAAGUUUGUAAUAGAGCCCAAUUGAUGGAAUUAUAGAAUUAGAAGGGAAAAGUCAACCGUAAGACUGUAUUUGUUUCCUUACUUUUGAGCUUUAUAAUAUAUAUAUA